rnacentral:tRNA from 1 species
GCCUUCGUGGUGUAGUGGUCUGGAUGCUAGACGCGUAACCGAGAGGUCCGUGGUUCGAUUCCCGGCGAAGGCG